rnacentral:lncRNA from 1 species
UUGCUUGUUGGCUGUGUUGCCUAAUAGAUUGUGAGUUGUGUGGGAGGCAAAUAGAUUGUGAGUUGUGUGGGAGGCAAAUAGAUUGUGAGUUGUGUGGGAGGCAGGAACCCGGGUGGUGUUGGUCACCACAGGAUCCUUGACACACUAGAUACUAAAAAAAUAUGAAUGAAUAGACUCUGACGAAGUCUCCAGUGAGUCCCCUAGUUCUGAGUCCCCCGGGGCUGGCAGCUAUGACAGAAACACAAGUGCUACACUUCAGGUC